UACGGAGGGAGCUAGCGUUGUUCGGAAUUACUGGGCGUAAAGCGCACGUAGGCGGCUUUUUAAGUCAGGGGUGAAAUCCCGGGGCUCAACCCCGGAACUGCCCUUGAAACUGGAGAGCUAGAAUCUUGGAGAGGCGAGUGGAAUUCCGAGUGUAGAGGUGAAAUUCGUAGAUAUUCGGGAAGAACACCGGUGGCGAAGGC
rnacentral:rRNA from 1 species